GAUGAAGAACGUAGCGAAAUGCGAUAAGUAAUGUGAAUUGCAGAAUUCAGUGAAUCAUCGAAUCUUUGAACGCACAUUGCGCCCCCUGGUAUUCCGGGGGGCAUGCCUGUUCGAGCGUCAUUUCACCACUCAAGCCUCGCUUGGUAUUGGGCAACGCGGUCCGCCGCGUGCCUCAAAUCGACCGGCUGGGUCUUCUGUCCCCUAAGCGUUGUGGAAACUAUUCGCUAAAGGGUGUUCGGGAGGCUACGCCGUAAAACAACCCCAUUUCUAAGGUUGACCUCGGAUCAGGUAGGGAUACCCGCUGAACUUAAGCAUAUCAAUAAGUGGAGGA
rnacentral:misc_RNA from 1 species